CUGUCUCUUCUGUGGCUGUUGUCAUCUUUCUGUAUUUGAGGUGAAAUUUUGAAACGGAGAAAUAGAUCAGCCUGCAGAAACGCAGAGCCUGGCUCCAUGGCUUUAUAUGACUUUGGACUGUGCAUCUUCAAGGGCUGGCAUAACCAGGCUGGCUCCAGUGGC